UCGCCAGGCAGCAGGGAAGCAGACAAAGCAGACAGAGCUCUCUGCCCUCCAUCAGCCUUUUUCCUAGUGAGGGGAAACGGAAGAAACAAAUCACACAGAGGAUGUGGCUCUCAAAGGGUCCUGAGCACCGUGGGAGAAACAGAGGACAAGGGCGGCAGCGGUGGGCAAAUUCCAACAGGGCCGGAGAAGGCGUCACCGGUGGGUCAGCCCGCGGCGGUGGGGGGCGGGUACUGCAGGGCAGGGAGGGUCACAUGAGUUCAUUUCCUCCCCCCAGAGCUUCACUACAGCCUCGGGCACAGAGCAAGGGCUUUCCGUGAGUUUGCAAUUGUCACAAUGUGCCGCUAGAGCGCGGUGUUGAAAGUGUCCCCUCCCUCCCCGGCACCCCUCCCAGGUCGCAGCUUCCCUGGGACGGUGGGGGGAUGGCAGCUGUCCCCGAUCCUGCCCCUGGCUCCUAAUACCCGGUCAGGGACUGCCAGCCUGAGCUCUCGGCAGAUCUGGGAGUCUGAGAUCUAUGUCAACGUCGCCAAAAGCUGUGUGAGAAGCAUAAAUUUACACACCAGCGACCUGCACGGCAACACGUCAGGCUCCUCUGACCUUUGGUUGGCUUUACGUUAACUUUAGUUAUCUCACACAUAGGGGAACUUUUAAAAUUUCUCUUUUAAAAUACUCCUGUAGAGGAGCAGAAAAGUUACUUAACAACUAUAUCUUUAUUAGACAGCCUUUCUUAAAACAGGUCUAUAGGAAAAGCAAUUUCACAAAAGGUCUUUGACGGUGAAAAUGGCUGUGAAUCAAUGACUCUGGUAACCACCAAGGAGAGAUGCUCAGACAAUAGACUCGGAGCAUGGCUGUACUUUUACAGCAUCCCUGUGAUUUCAUGGAUCGGCCCUGUUGGAGAAGCAGAAUACCAUGCGUGGCUCUAAGUUCCAGAAACAACCAGGUCCUACCCUGGCUGGACACCCAAGGCUGCUGCGGCCACUACAGGCUGCUCGUCGCCACGCGGACAUUUGACAAGCAUUUCAUCCUGUUCAUCAACCCUGGACCUCCGUCUUCACCCCAGCCUCCCAAAACUUGCUGCUCCUCCUGAGCCCCGAACUCAGUGGAAACACUUUGACUCCCAGCCAGCGACCUCCUGGCUGGGCUCCCCGCGGCAGCACUGCCCCCCAAGCCCACUGUCCACGCUGAGGCUUAACAUUCUAUCAACAGACAGUGGCGCCCGUACCCCUUUACUGUGUUAAAGGAAAAGCUUCAGCAGCUCUGGUUCUUCUGGAGAAAGUCCAGCCUAUUUAUCUGGCAAUGUCUCCUUCAGCGAAAUGACCCAAGGACACUAGAGUCUGCUUGAUCAGCAUAGAAUCCUGUAAAGCUGCAUCUUCUCUUUUGAAGCGUAGAACUAGGCCGAGGAUAACAGAAGAUGUGUUAACUGAGGCCUAGCUGGAGCCGUUAGAAUCCAAGCUCCCAGCCCACUGGCUUCAGGCUGAGAUGAGGCACCACUGUGGAAAGCUGGCAGAGCUUGUGGGGUGUUCUGCAGAUAAAACAAGAAGAAACCAGGAUGGGGCAUCAGAGGAAACGGUCUGUAAUGUGUCUUGAAGAAACUAGCAACUGACACAGCAGGGUGGGCACUGCAUGUUAUGAUAAAGAAAAUUCAUAUUCAUGAAAAAUUGGUGGCAAGCUGCCAAUAUUAUGUAUUCAGAAUACACCCAUUUUUCAAUUGCUCGAAACAUCAUUUAGGUUUUAAAAAGGUACUGAUAAUAAACGGAUCUAAAACACACCUAAACAACUCGAAUAUGGAACGAGAUAGGAAAUGACGGAAGAUGGCAUGGGCUGGUCCAAGGCUGAAGCCACGUACCAGGCCAACAGCAGACUUGCAAAGGUAGAAAGAAAUGUUGCCAAUUCGUGGCCUGGAAAAUAGAGCCCGAGGCGGGCAUUUUGGGGUCUUUUAGAGUGUCAGCUACAGGUGAAAAAACGGUUGUAAUUUCUAACACAAUGGAUGGUGCUCCAACUAUGUUAGCUGAAAUCAGGAAUUUUGGGGAAUUAUUUAUUUCGGCUGCGUUGGGUCUUCGUUGCUGAGCACGGGCUUUCUCUAGUUGCGGCGAGCGGGGCUACUCUUCGUUGCAGUGUGUGGGCUUCUCAUUGCAGUGGCUUCUCUUGUUGCCGAGCACAGGCUCUAGGCCCACGGGCUUCAGUAGUUGUGGCUCGCGGUCUCAGUAGUUGUGGCUCAUGGGCUUAGUUGCUCCGCGGCAUGUGGG